rnacentral:rRNA from 1 species
CCUUCCUCCUCGCUGAAAGUACUUUACAACCCGAAGGCCUUCUUCAUACACGCGGCAUGGCUGCAUCAGGCUUGCGCCCAUUGUGCAAUAUUCCCCACUGCUGCCUCCCGUAGGAGUCUGGACCGUGUCUCAGUUCCAGUGUGGCUGGUCAUCCUCUCAGACCAGCUAGGGAUCGUCGCCUAGGUGAGCCAUUACCCCACCUACUAGCUAAUCCCAUCUGGGCACAUCUGAUGGCAUGAGGCCCGAAGGUCCCCCACUUUGGUCUUGCGACGUUAUGCGGUAUUAGCUACCGUUUCCAGUAGUUAUCCCCCUCCAUCAGGCAGAUUCCCAGACAUUACUCACCCGUCCGCCGCUCGUCACCCGAGAGCAAGCUCUCUGUGCUACCGCUCGACUUGCAUGUGUUAGGCCUGCCGCCAGC